AAUUUCUUCAAAAGAUCCUGUCUGACAUGGAGUGCUGAGAAGUGUGGGUGGUCAGUAUAAUUACUCACAAAUGUUAUCUAACUGCUGCCUGCCAAUUUUUGACCACUGGUCAGCAGAGGUGUGGAUGACAUCAAAUCUUGUCACUGCCAGUGUCAGUAUAGCUGACCACUUGCUCUGACCACUGGGCAUUAUGAGGGUAAGCUGACCAGCACAGCUGGAGCCCACUUGAAAUGUCUCCCCUGACAUGAUGUGCUGGUCACUAUACAGUGCCUUAGGUUUUGGUCGGAACUCUUCCUGAAUAGUUCUUGGUUGGAACUGGUAUGUGGGAUGCUCCAUGUCCUGUCAAAGUUUAAGAAAUCUGCACAUGAGAUUCAACCCAUGACCCUUCUGCUCACGAACCAAGUUCAAUACCCAGUGUGCCAGCAGCAUUGCUUAUCAUCCAUCAUGCAACUGUGUCCGGGGAGAUUUGAACCCUGACUUUCCUGCUCGCUAGCCCAGAGUCCACCGCCCAGCUAGCCCAGAGUCCACCGCCCAGCUAUGUGCGUGCUAUGUUGCUUGUCAUCCUUCGUGUCACCCGAGUUGAACACGGACUUGUCAGGACCAGCAUGGUUUAGUGACCUGAAAGUCUGGGGUCCCCUGUCUGUGAGACUGAAGCUCCUACACUUUUAACAGCUGACUGCUAUAUUGAACUUGGAGGGUAUUGACGGAAGCCCCCUACAUUGUUGGCGAGGUUUUGUCGGUGAUGAUACUUGGAUCACCAGUGCCGAGAGGAUCAUCACCCAGCUUCCAUUUGUUUCUGAGCCAACAUGGCUGAUGUACCAGGGGAAAUACAUUUAUGGAGAAAACCACAAUUAUUAAACAAAUGGCUCUCCCUGGCGACAGCAAUGUAGAAGUGCACUGUAAGGGGCGGUCACUGACACCUUGAUCACGGCUGCAGCAGCUGGACAUUUGACCAGCUGAGGUCCACAACCUACAGGUUAAAGGAGAUUUUCUUAUCCGGCAAAGACAAUAGUGUAUACAUCAACUCUGUUAAGAGGACUGGAAGGAAAACAGCAACUUUUUGGCUAUCACCCAAGUCUGGAUAUUAUCCCAGAAUUAACUGAAGCUUGUCACUGGAGGUGGCUUGACAUUGACAUAAAAGCCCAAUUACAGAUUUGUCCUCAAUUCCUGAAACUCUGUAACCUUGGCAACAGUCUGACAUCAGUAUGUUAUCAAAUAUAAUAUCUACAUUUCAUAGAUCAUGAUAUCCCAAAAGAGCUGUACUCAGAAAGUAAAGAAAAUAAAAUCGGUUUAUUUUUUAA
rnacentral:lncRNA from 1 species